ACUGCUGAGCUGAAUUAGGCAUAGAUUUUAGCUAUUUGUAUGCCUAUUUGAUCGUAUUAAUGGCGUAAAAUUCGCGUGUGACCAUUGUGGGGUGGAAGAGUUAUUUCAAUGCUUUUAGUUUCCCAUGGUCUUUGCUAAAAGGUACCCCUUUAUCAAACUUUUGUAAGAUUUUAGCCAUUUGCAUGCAUGUUUCACUUUAUUAUUGGGUGGAAGAAUUACUUUUACGCUUUCAGCUGAUCGAAG
rnacentral:misc_RNA from 1 species